rnacentral:rRNA from 1 species
GACGAACGCUGGCGGCGUGCUUAACACAUGCAAGUCGAACGGAAAGGCCCUGCUUUUGUGGGGUGCUCGAGUGGCGAACGGGCGAGUAACACGUGAGUAACCUGCCCUUGACUUUGGGAUAACUUCAGGAAACUUGGGCUAAUACCGGAUAGGAGCUCCUGCUGCAUGGUGGGGGUUGGAAAGUUUCGGCGGUUGGGGAUGGACUCGCGGCCUAUCAGCUUGUUGGUGGGGUAGUGGCUUACCAAGGCUUUGACGGGUAGCCGGCCUGAGAGGGUGACCGGCCACAUUGGGACUGAGAUACGGCCCAGACUCCUACGGGAGGCAGCAGUGGGGAAUAUUGCACAAUGGGCGGAAGCCUGAUGCAGCAACGCCGCGUGCGGGAUGACGGCCUUCGGGUUGUAAACCGCUUUCGCCUGUGACGAAGCGUGAGUGACGGUAAUGGGUAAAGAAGCACCGGCUAACUACGUG